AGAGUUUGAUCCUGGCUCAGAUUGAACGCUGGCGGUAGGCCUAACACAUGCAAGUCGAACGGCAGCAGACCGUGACAAUCCCUUCGGGGUGCGUUUGGUGCUGGCGAGUGGCGGACGGGUGAGUAACACGUAGGAAUCUGCCUAACAGUGGGGGACAACCCGGGGAAACUCGGGCUAAUACCGCAUACGCCCUACGGGGGAAAGCGGGGGACUUUCGGGCCUCGCGCUGUUAGAGGAGCCUGCGUCGGAUUAGCUUGUUGGUGAGGUAAUGGCUCACCAAGGCGACGAUCCGUAGCUGGACUGAGAGGAUGAUCAGCCACACUGGGACUGAGACACGGCCCAGACUCCUACGGGAGGCAGCAGUGGGGAAUAUUGCACAAUGGGCGAAAGCCUGACGCAGCCAUACCGCGUGGGUGAAGAAGGCCUUAGGGUUGUAAAGCCCUUUCAGCAGGGAAGAAAGGUGCGGGGUUAAUACCCCCGUAAUUUGACGGUACCUGAAUAAGAAGCACCGGCCAACUCCGUGCAGCAGCCGCGUAUCGAGGUGCAAGCCGUAUCGAAUCACUGGCGUAAAGCGCGCGUAGGCGUCUGUCAGUCAGAUGUGAAAGCCCCGGGCUUAACCUGGGAACUGCAUUUGAUACUGCCAGACUAGAGUGUGGUAGAGGGAAGUGGAAUUCCGCGUGUAGCGGUGAAUGCGUAGAGAUGCGGAGGAACAUCAGUGGCGAAAGGCGACUUCCUGGACCAACACUGACGCUCAGGUGCGAAAGCGUGGGGAGCAAACAGGAUUAGAUACCUGGUAGUCCACGCUGUAAACGAUGUCUACUAGCCGUCGGGGAGCUUGUCUCUUUGGUGGCGCAGCUAACGCGAUAAGUAGACCGCCUGGGGAGUACGGCGCAAGCUAAAACUCAAGGAUGGACGGGGGCCCGCACAGCGGUGGAGCAUGUGAUUAAAUUCGAUGCACGCGAGAACUACUGACCAUGACAUCCUCGGAACGGUCUGGAAACGGACUGGUGCCUUCGGGAGCCGAGAGACAGGUGCUGCAUGGCUGUCGCCAGCUCGUGUCGUGAGAUGUUGGGUUAAGUCCCGUAACGAGCGCAACCCCUAUCCUUAGUUGCCAGCGAGUCAUGUCGGGAACUCUAGGGAGACUGCCGGUGACAAACCGGAGGAAGGUGGGGACGACGUCAAGUCAUCAUGGCCCUUAUGGGCAGGGCUACACACGUGCUACAAUGGGCGGUACAGAGGGCUGCGAAGUCGCGAGGCGGAGCAAAUCUCAGAGAACCGGUCGUAGUCCGGAUUGCAGUCUGCAACUCGACUGCAUGAAGUUGGAAUCGCUAGUAAUCGCGGAUCAGAAUGCCGCGGUGAAUACGUUCCCGGGCCUUGUACACACCGCCCGUCACACCAUGGGAGUGGGCUGUACCAGAAGUAGGUAGUCUAACCUUCGGGAGGACGCUUACCACGGUGUGGUUCAUGACUGGGGUGAAGUCGUAACAAGGUAACC
rnacentral:rRNA from 1 species